rnacentral:rRNA from 1 species
UUCCCUAGUACGGCGAGUGAGCGGGAAGAGCUCAAAUUUGAAAUCUGGUAGCCUUCGGUUGCCCGAGUUGUAAUCUAGAGAAGUGUUUUCCGUGCCGGCCCAUGUACAAGUCCCUUGGAACAGGGCGUCAUAGAGGGUGAGAAUCCCGUCCUUGACAUGGACCCCCGGUGCUUUGUGAUACACUUUCAACGAGUCGAGUUGUUUGGGAAUGCAGCUCAAAAUGGGUGGUGAAUUCCAUCUAAAGCUAAAUAUUGGCGAGAGACCGAUAGCGAACAAGUACCGUGAGGGAAAGAUGAAAAGCACUUUGGAAAGAGAGUUAAACAGUACGUGAAAUUGUUGAAAGGGAAACGAUUGAAGUCAGUCAUGCUCUUAGGAUUCAGCCGUUCUGCGGUGUAUUUCCUUUGAGUGGGGUCAACAUCAGUUUUGAUCGAUGGAUAAAGGCACGAGGAAGGUAGCACUCUCGGGUGAACUUAUAGCCUCGCGUCAUAUACAUUGAUUGGGACUGAGGAACGCAGCAUGCCUUUAUGGCCGGGAUUCGUCCACGUACAUGCUUAGGAUGUUGACAUAAUGGCUUUAAACGACCCGUCUUGAACCACGGACCA